rnacentral:rRNA from 1 species
AUAUCUGAAUUAGUGGCGGACGGGUGAGUAACGCGUGAGCAACCUGCCUUACAGAGGGGGAUAACAUUCGGAAACGAAUGCUAAUACCGCAUAAUAUACAUUUACGGCAUCGUAGAUAUAUCAAAGGAGCAAUCCGCUGUAAGAUGGGCUCGCGUCCGAUUAGAUAGUUGGUGAGGUAAAGGCUCACCAAGUCUGCGAUCAGUAGCCGGCCUGAGAGGGUGGACGGCCACACUGGGACUGAGACACGGCCCAGACUCCUACGGGAGGCAGCAGUGGGGAAUAUUGCGCAAUGGGGGAAACCCUGACGCAGCGACGCCGCGUGAGCGAAGAAGGCCUUAGGGUCGUAAAGCUCUGUUUUAAGGGACGAAUAUCCUUAGUAGUAACUGACUAAGGAAUGACGGUACCUUAAGAGAAAGCCCCGGCUAACUACGUGCCAGCAGCCGCGGUAAGACGUAGGGGGCGAGCGUUGUCCGGAAUUACUGGGCGUAAAGAGCACGUAGGCGGGAUUUUAAGUCAGGUGUGAAAGACCGUGGCUCAACCACGGGGUUGCACAUGAAACUGGAAUUCUUGAGGGCAGGAGAGGAAAGUGGAAUUCCUGGUGUAGCGGUGAAAUGCGUAGAAAUCAGGAGGAACACCGGUGGCGAAGGCGACUUUCUGGACUGACCCUGACGCUGAGGUGCGAAAGCGUGGGUAGCAAACAGGAUUAGAUACCCUGGUAGUCCACGCUGUAAACGAUGGAUACUAGGUGUGGGAGGUAUCGACCCCUUCCGUGCCGCAGCAAACGCAAUAAGUAUCCCGCCUGGGGAGUACGGUCGCAAGGCUGAAACUCAAAAGAAUUGACGGGGGCCCGCACAAGCGGUGGAGCAUGUGGUUUAAUUCGAUGCAACGCGAAGAACCUUACCAGGUCUUGACAUCCAAAGAAUCCUGAUGAAAGUCGGGAGUGCCUUAGGGAGCUUUGAGACAGGUGGUGCAUGGUUGUCGUCAGCUCGUGUCGUGAGAUGUUGGGUUAAGUCCCGCAACGAGCGCAACCCCCGCUAUUAGUUGCUAACAUUGAGUUGAGCACUCUAAUGGGACUGCCCGCGACAAGCGGGAGGAAGGUGGGGAGGACGUCAAAUCAUCAUGCCCUUUAUGAUCUGGGCUACACACGUGCUACAAUGGAUGGUACAGAGAGCAGCGAGACAGUGAUGUGGAGCGAAUCUCAAAAAGCCAUUCUCAGUUCGGAUUGCAGGCUGCAACUCGCCUGCAUGAAGUCGGAAUCGCUAGUAAUCGCGGAUCAGCAUGUCGCGGUGAAAAAAGGCCCGGGCCUUGUUCACACCGCCCGUCA